AUUGAACGCUGGCGGCAGGCUUAACACAUGCAAGUCGAGCGGUAACAGAGAGAAGCUUGCUUCUCUGCUGACGAGCGGCGGACGGGUGUGUAAUGCCUAGGAAUCUGCCUAGUAGUGGGGGAUAACUUGCCGAAAGGUAAGCUAAUACCGCAUACGUCCUACGGGAGAAAGGAGGGGACCUUCGGGCCUUUCGCUAUUAGAUGAGCCUAGGUCGGAUUAGUCAGUUGGUGAGGUAAUGGCUCACCAAGACCGCGAUCCGUAACUGGUCUGAGGAGGAUGAGCAGUCACACUGGAACUGAGACACGGUCCAGACUCCUACGGGAGGCAGCAGUGGGGAAUAUUGGACAAUGGGGGGAACCCUGAUCCAGCCAUGCCGCGUGUGUGAAGAAGGUCUUAGGAUUGUAAAGCACUUUAAGUUGGGAGGAAGAGCAGUUAACUAAUAUUUGACUGCUUUGACGUUACCGACAGAAUAAGCACCGGCUAACUUCGUGCCAGCAGCCGCCGUAA
rnacentral:rRNA from 1 species